GAUGAACGCUGGCGGCGUGCCUAAUACAUGCAGGUCGAGCGAACAGACGAGGAGCUUGCUCCUCUGACGUUAGCGGCGGACGGGUGAGUAACACGUGGAUAACCUACCUAUAAGACUGGGAUAACUUCGGGAAACCGGAGCUAAUACCGGAUAAUAUAUUGAACCGCAUGGUUCAAUAGUGAAAGACGGUUUUGCUGUCACUUAUAGAUGGAUCCGCGCCGCAUUAGCUAGUUGGUAAGGUAACGGCUUACCAAGGCUACGAUGCGUAGCCGACCUGAGAGGGUGAUCGGCCACACUGGAACUGAGACACGGUCCAGACUCCUACGGGAGGCAGCAGUAGGGAAUCUUCCGCAAUGGGCGAAAGCUUGACGGAGCAACGCCGCGUGAGUGAUGAAGGUCUUCGGAUCGUAAAACUCUGUUAUUAGGGAAGAACAAAUGUGUAAGUAACUAUGCACGUCUUGACGGUACCUAAUCAGAAAGCCACGGCUAACUACGUG
rnacentral:rRNA from 1 species